UCAGAUUUGACAUGGUGGCAGCUAAUUAGUGCGCUGUCCCGGUGUGUGAUGCGAUUAUGUCACCGCCGUGCGUUAUCGCCACAGUGUGAACGGACGUCUGAGGACACUCACCAGAUCUUCAAUGGUCACUAUGCAUCAUACGAACAUUAUUGUGGCCUAGUUCCACCCAAGGCAUCCUUGACAAACUCAUCAAGGGGUACGGAACUACUCACUAGACGAAUCUCAAGUGACUAACAGACUGGGGGCUGGGACUUACAGACUGACUCUGUCCACAGCACCUUCUUCCAAAAUGAAAAUGCAAGAAAUAGAAAUCCAAACCUCAAGGACCUCACCAGAAAUAAUGGUGCAUGAUGGUAGUAUUAAUAAUACUGUAUCAGGAGAUCGUGCUUCAAAUCUU